rnacentral:rRNA from 1 species
UACGUAGGGUGCGAGCGUUAAUCGGAAUUACUGGGCGUAAAGCGUGCGCAGGCGGUUCGUUAAGUUCGAUGUGAAAGCCCCGGGCUCAACCUGGGAACUGCAUUGGAAACUGGCGAGCUUGAAUGCGGCAGAGGGGGGUGGAAUUCCGCGUGUAGCAGUGAAAUGCGUAGAGAUGCGGAGGAACACCGAUGGCGAAGGCAGCCCCCCUGGGCCGACAUUGACGCUCAGGCACGAAAGCGUGGGGAGCAAACAGG